AGGACGACGCUGGCGGCGUGCCUAACACAUGCAAGUCGAACGGAGAUACAUUGUAGCAAUAUGGUGUAUCUUAGUGGCGGACGGGUGAGUAACGCGUGAGCAACCUGCCCUUCGGAGGGGGACAACAGCUGGAAACGGCUGCUAAUACCGCAUAACGUAUAACCGAGGCAUCUUGGAUAUACCAAAGAUUUUAUCGCCGGAGGAUGGGCUCGCGUCUGAUUAGCUAGUUGGUAGGGUAAUGGCCUACCAAGGCUGCGAUCAGUAGCCGGACUGAGAGGUUGAACGGCCACAUUGGGACUGAGAUACGGCCCAGACUCCUACGGGAGGCAGCAGUGGGGAAUAUUGGGCAAUGGGGGCAACCCUGACCCAGCAACGCCGCGUGAAGGAAGAAGGCCUUCGGGUUGUAAACUUCUUUGACCAGGGACGAAGGACGUGACUGUACCUGGAAAACAAGCCACGGCUAACUACGUG
rnacentral:rRNA from 1 species